UACGUAGGGUGCAAGCGUUGUCCGGAAUUAUUGGGCGUAAAGGGCUCGUAGGCGGUCCAUCACGUCGGGAGUGAAAAGCUGGGGCUUAACCCCAGUCCUGCUUCCGAUACGGGUGGACUAGAGGUAGGCAGGGGAGAACGGAAUUCCUGGUGUAGCGGUGAAAUGCGCAGAUAUCAGGAGGAACACCGGUGACGAAGGCGGUUCUCUGGGCCGAUACUGACGCUGAGGAGCGAAAGCGUGGGGAGCGAACAGG
rnacentral:rRNA from 1 species